AACCGAAAAAGGCAAACCAUUCGAAAGGAUGGGACGCAAAGCUACUGGCCUAAAUCCUGUUUAGGACAUGGUCGCAGGGUUGCCGGA
rnacentral:ncRNA from 1 species